rnacentral:rRNA from 1 species
AUUGAACGCUGGCGGCAUGCCUAACACAUGCAAGUCGAACGGAAACGAUGGAAGCUUGCUUCCAGGCGUCGAGUGGCGGACGGGUGAGUAAUGCUUAGGAAUCUGCCCAAUAGUGGGGGACAACCAGGAGAAAUUCUGGCUAAUACCGCAUACGCACUACGGUGGAAAGUGGGGGACCUUCGGGCCUCACGCUAUUGGAUGAGCCUAAGUCGGAUUAGCUUGUUGGUGGGGUAAUGGCUCACCAAGGCGACGAUCCGUAGCUGGUCUGAGAGGACGAUCAGCCACACUGGGACUGAGACACGGCCCAGACUCCUACGGGAGGCAGCAGUGGGGAAUAUUGGACAAUGGGGGCAACCCUGAUCCAGCAAUGCCGCGUGUGUGAAGAAGGCCUGCGGGUUGUAAAGCACUUUCAGUAGAGAAGAAAAGCUUACGGUUAAUACCCGUGAGUCUUGACGUAACCUACAGAAGAAGCACCGGCUAACUCCGUG